rnacentral:rRNA from 1 species
GGGUGUUGCUCGUAUCGACCCGAGCAGUAUCGUAGCCAACGCGUUAAGUAUCCCGCCUGGGGAGUACGCACGCAAGUGUGAAACUCAAAGGAAUUGACGGGGGCCCGCACAAGCGGUGGAGUAUGUGGUUUAAUUCGAUGCAACGCGAAGAACCUUACCAGGGUUUGACAUCCUACGAACACCGAUGAAAGUUGGUGGUGCCUUCGGGAGCGUAGAGACAGGUGGUGCGUGGCUGUCGUCAGCUCGUGUCGUGAGAUGUUGGGUUAAGUCCCGCAACGAGCGCAACCCACGUUUUUAGUUGCCAUCAUUAAGUUGGGCACUCUAGAGAGACUGCCGGUGACAAACCGGAGGAAGGUGUGGACGACGUCAAGUCAUCAUGCCCCUUACACCCUGGGCUACACACGUACUACAAUGCACUGGACAAAGGGCAGCGAGCUAGUGAUAGUGAGCAAAUCUCAGAAACCAGUGCACAGUUCAGAUUGUAGGCUGCAACUCGCCUACAUGAAGGAGGAAUCGCUAGUAAUCGCAGGUCAGCAUACUGCGGUGAAUACGUUCCCGGGCCUUGUACACACCGCCCGUCACACCAUGGAAGUUGGUUUCGCCCGAAGUCGUUACUCCAACCUUCGGAGG